UUUUGGCCUUUUGCAGUAAACUUAAUUUUUCAACGUUUUAAACAGUCUUUUGACUGAUUUUUGUGUUGGAUUUCACCUUAGAUGGGUGAAAUAUUAGUGGUUCGCAACCGUCGGAACAACUGAAGAAACAAUCGAAAUCUCGGUGGAGACCAAAACGACACCUGUAGCGAAGCAACGGUCCAGUUGGCUCAAGCUGGACGAACCAGUCAAGGUGAAUUGUCCGACGAGUUCAGAAGAGGAAAUAGAAAGUUUGGAAUCAGCUCCGAACAACGUGCCGACAUAUGUUCGUGCCGUUUCAAAAAAUGGUCAGAGUGUUACACGAGCCCGAUCGUCAUCAGCACUCGACAUUUUGCCUGGUGGUUUUGGACAUCAUCGGCUGGGCUAAACUUUGCGGGGUUGGUUCACCUGAUUUACAUUGUUGCUGCCGGGUUAGCGGUAGACGUCCGCCGGUGAGUGCGGCCGCAGUUUUUCCUCCGUGAAAUAGUUGAAGAGCGGGGACAUUAUUGACCAGUGUACCUUCGGAUCGGAAGUGCUCAAUCAACGGGCGGAUUGUAACCGAGAUAGUUGAGACGGAACAGUACGGCACGAAAUAGCAUAUCUGAGAAUCGCACCUGAGCAUUAAAGAUGGUGAUGGUUUGCCUAAUAAAUUAAUUAACAUUUUUAUCAAUAUUUGGAAUAUACCAGAAAUACUGAAAUAAUUUUUAUUUAGAGAAAAUCUUUGUUAGUGGAAGAGUUAAUUCAUCAUUUGGGAACGGGUCUUUGCAAGAAGCAGGAACCGGCCGUGGACUCAAGUGAACCAGAAGUGGAUCUAGUUCCGUUAUAAAUGGAUUUUGCUGAGUGCUUGAAAUAUUUAGACAAGCUCGUCGUUUCGUGGGUGAUGGUCACGUUUGAGUUGAAGUUUAGAGAUGUCUUACGGAACAACGACGGGUAGCAUUCGUCAGUUAUGCGGCCGGAUAGCAAGCAGGAAUGUCUGCUUAAGGUUUUCGACCUGGACAGCCGUAAACCGGGACAGUAAAUCGGAGAUUCCUAGCUUUUUCUAAAUAAAAA